GACGAACGCUGGCGGCGUGCUUAACACAUGCAAGUCGAACGGUGACCUCGAGAGCUUGCUCUCGGGCGAUCAGUGGCGAACGGGUGAGUAACACGUGAGUAACCUGCCCCAGACUCUGGAAUAACCCCGGGAAACCGGAGCUAAUACCGGAUACGAGACGGAGUCGCAUGGCUACCGUCUGGAAAGUUUUUCGGUCUGGGAUGGACUCGCGGCCUAUCAGCUAGUUGGUGAGGUAACGGCUCACCAAGGCGACGACGGGUAGCCGGCCUGAGAGGGCGACCGGCCACACUGGGACUGAGAUACGGCCCAGACUCCUACGGGAGGCAGCAGUGGGGAAUAUUGCACAAUGGGCGAAAGCCUGAUGCAGCGACGCCGCGUGAGGGAUGACGGCCUUCGGGUUGUAAACCUCUUUCAGCGGGGAAGAAGCGAAAGUGACGGUACCUGCAGAAGAAGCACCGGCUAACUACGUGCCAGCCGCCGCGGUAACAC
rnacentral:rRNA from 1 species